CCUACGGGUGGCAGCAGUGGGGGAUAUUGCACAAUGGGGGGAACCCUGAUGCAGCGACGCCGCGUGUGGGAAGACGGUCCUCUGGAUUGUAACCCACUAUCCCCAGGGACGAAAAUGACGGUACCUGGGGAGGAAGCUCCGGCUAACUACGUGCCAGCAGCCACGGUAAUACGUAGGGAGCGAGCGUUGUCGGGAAUUACUGGGUGUACAGGGAGCGUAGGCGGGGAUGCAAGUUGGUGGUAAAAACUACCGGCUAAACUGGUUGGCGCACUCAAAACUGGAGCUCUUGAGUGCAGUAGAGGCAGGCGGAAUUCCUAGUGUAGCGGUGAAAUGCGUAGAUAUUAGGAGGAACACCAGUGGCGAAGGCGGCCUGCUGGGCUUUUACUGACGCUGAGGCUCGAAAGUGUGGGGAGCAAACAGGAUUAGAUACCCGAGUAGUC
rnacentral:rRNA from 1 species